UACGUAGGGGGCAAGCGUUGUCCGGAAUCAUUGGGCGUAAAGAGCGUGUAGGCGGUCCGAUAAGUCCGCUCUGAAAGCCCGGGGCUCAACCCCGGGAGGCGGGCGGAUACUGUCGGGCUAGAGUCCGGAAGAGGCAAGUGGAAUUCCUGGUGUAGCGGUGAAAUGCGCAGAUAUCAGGAGGAACACCAAUGGCGAAGGCAGCUCACUGGGACGGUACUGACGCUGAGACGCGAAAGCGUGGGGAGCAAACAGG
rnacentral:rRNA from 1 species